UACGUAGGUGGCAAGCGUUGUCCGGAUUUACUGGGCGUAAAGAGCGUGUAGGCGGUCCGGUAAGUCCGCUGUGAAAGUCGGGGGCUCAACCCUCGAAUGCCGGUGGAUACUGUCGGGCUAGAGUGCGGAAGAGGCGAGUGGAAUUCCUGGUGUAGCGGUGAAAUGCGCAGAUAUCAGGAGGAACACCUAUUGCGAAGGCAGCUCGCUGGGACGUAACUGACGCUGAGACGCGAAAGCGUGGGGAGCAAACAGG
rnacentral:rRNA from 1 species